AGAGUUUGAUCCUGGCUCAGAGCGAACGCUGGCGGCAUGCUUAACACAUGCAAGUCGCACGGGCACUUCGGUGUCAGUGGCGGACGGGUGAGUAACGCGUAGGUAUCUAUCCUUGGGUGGGGGACAACUGUGGGAAACUACAGCUAAUACCGCAUGAUGACUGAGGUCCAAAGGCGCAAGUCGCCUGGGGAGGAAGCCUGCGUACGAUUAGCUAGUUGGUGGGGUAAAGGCCUACCAAGGCGACGAUCGUUAGCUGGUCUGAGAGGAUGAUCAGCCACAUUGGGACUGAGACACGGCCCAAACUCCUACGGGAGGCAGCAGUGGGGAAUAUUGGACAAUGGGCGAAAGCCUGAUCCAGCAAUGCCGCGUGUGUGAAGAAGGUCUUCGGAUUGUAAAGCACUUUCGACGGGGACGAUGAUGACGGUACCCGUAGAAG
rnacentral:rRNA from 1 species